GCUGGCGGCGUGCUUAACACAUGCAAGUCGAGUGCGCGCCUGUAGCAAUACAGGUGGCGCACGGCGCACGGGUGCGUAACACGUGGGUAAUCUGCCCUCUGAUGGGGAAUAACUCGCCGAAAGGCGAGCUAAUUCCGCAUAAUAUUCCGAGAACUUUGGUUUUUGGACUGAAAGGCGUAAGUCGUCGGAGGAGGAGCCCGCGCACGAUUAGCUAGUUGGUAGGGUAAUGGCCUACCAAGGCUUUGAUCGUUAGCUGGUCUGAGAGGAUGGCCAGCCACACUGGAACUGAGACACGGUCCAGACUCCUACGGGAGGCAGCAGUGGGGAAUCUUGCACAAUGGGCGAAAGCCUGAUGCAGCGACGCCGCGUGGGGGAUGAAGCUUCUCGGAGUGUAAACCCCUUUCGAUCCGGACGAAUACCUCGCAAGAGGAGUGACGGUACGGAUAUAAGAAGCCCCGGCUAACUACGUGCCA
rnacentral:rRNA from 1 species